UUUUUUUUUUUUUUUGUGUGACUUUGUAUGCUAUGUGCCAUGCAUGAAAUAGGCAAACUACAAAUCUAGAAUACCAUCCAUCUCUUUAGUUGUUAGCAUAACAAAAUUGUGACAACUAUGUUAUGUUCACUUCAACGAUGGCAUAAACUAUGUAAGGUCGUUUUCUUUAAUUUUUUGGACAACUUUUGGAUUCCAAACCACUAUUUGAUAAGUAUUCUUGCUUAAGCAAUCCCUAACAAAUACUCCAGCCAUUGCCAACCCAUCAUUAGCACCUUUGGACAUAAUAAAGAAAUAUAUAUAUAUAUAUAUACAUAUAGUUAAAGGUUGGUGGUUAAGAAGUUGGAUUUGGGUGACCAACAACAAUGGACUUAGAUUUGAUUAUAAAGAUUAGUUGGAUCAGUACCUUGGACAAAAGGCAUAUUCAGCCUUUGUUUUUCAACUUUAACUAUUACUAUUUUUUUUCUCUUCUCUCUUCUCAUCCCUUGGAAUAUUGCAAGCUAUACUUGAGUAGUUGUGUGUGGUGUCAUUACAUGCUGGAUCCACAUGGUUUCAGCGUGCAGGACACGCUCUUUUCGUAGAAAAAUGCUCGAAGGAUAGAACAAAUUGUCCGUAAAAUAUUUUUCCCAAUAUAAAUGGUCCCAAAGGACUUGUCCACACUGCUUUUCCAGGGAGACGAGGGGAGCUUACAUUUCAUUGUCAGGAUUGAAUGGUCUGAUUUUUUUGUCAAACAGUUACACACAAGUUAAAUUAAAAUUAACCUUAACACUCCGAGGAUUGAAUAGUCUAAUGGGUUCUAAAAUAGAUCGAGUCUUUGCAUGUUACUCAUAUUGCAUGAGGAAAAUUGAUUAAUUUGGAGCAUUUUGAUGCACUUAGGCAGUGUGUUAAAAUUGCCCAAGAAUGUCCCUCAUAUAUAUUUUGUGUGUCUCUGCAUUAAAAUUACUAAUUUAACAAUUGAUUGUGUUUAUUAGGCCAAUUGGUAAAGGACACUUGAUUAUCUAAUUGCUUACUGAAGUUUGAAACGUGAAAUAUGAAUGUAUUAAGUUAUUGAAUUAUUAAAUAUUUAAUCAAAUACAUUCGAGGGUGUAUCACAUUCAGUGACAAGUGAAUAAUUUAUCACUUAACCACCAAUUUGCCACAAUUAAAUGUGGCCUUACUUAAAAAAAUUCAAGCUGGUGCAUAGUACAUCCGUCUGAUCCGGUGGUGGUUCAGUCCCCUCUGGAUUACCCCAAGACCUCUUCAGGCCCUCUCUCUCCCUAUAGUAUAGAAAGCUAUCGUAUCGACAAAAAAAAAAAAAAAAGAAUAACUUAUCACUUGUUUUUUGGAAUAAGUUUUACUUAAGAAAUUCAAUGCCACUUAAUUAAUUCAGAUGUUCAAGUUUUAGUUAUCAAAUGCAUCUAAACAUAUUAAAAUCUGAAUCCAUUAAAUUUAAGUGCUGAAUUAGGUUAUCAAACAAGGCCUAAUCUUAUAUACAUUGACAGAAUAUACACUAUCAUCGACAAAUACUUGAGUACAUACCCUGUUAAUAUAGGAAAGAUUAAUCCUUUUUGCAAAGACAAUUUUGUUUAGCUUUGGUAAGAUGGUGUAAAGUCUAUUUGGAUGAGUGCGGUAGUGAAUUUUCAUUAACUUGGAUGGUUGCCUUAUGCUAUUUACUUGAGUGCUAGUUAUUUUAUUGACUACUACUAGGGGGAAGUACCCGUGCAUCGCGCAGGUGUUUAGUGCCUGUGAUUAAAGAGAAUUUUUUAGUGGUUGAAGUGAAUAUUAUUUUCAUAUUAACCAAGAAGUUAUUUUUGAUCAAGAACCUAUCGGUACAUAUCAUCCAUAUUGCUGCAAGGUGAGCAAGUGAAUAAAGAUAAGAGUAGGAUAACAACGCAUAUUAAGUAAUAUUAAUAAAAUUAUUGUAAAUAAUAAUGCAUAUUAACCGAAUCAUACUUAAUAUGAGUAGAAGGAAAUGCACGGAUAAUGGAGUCGUUUAGAGGGCAUUAAACCUAAUCCUGGAAGCCGAAAAGGGAACAAACGGAAGAAUGUGAAAAAGGAGACAUCAGAAUAACCAUAAUCGAUACUUAGACAUUAAAUCAUCAAUAUACCUAUGUUUUUGGCUGUUUAAUUGAGAUGUAAAUAGUGGUAUAUUGCUGGUGUGAAAGUUGUUUCAAAGACAGGGGCUUCAGACAUGGGAACUCAUGCAUUGGUAUUAUUAUGAGUUGUUUCACAUAAUUGAAUGAAUAGCUGCAAGUGUCUUUAUUUUAAUUGCACUAUGACACUAUUUCAGUAAAUUACACCCAUACAUAUGUUUAUAUAAGUUGUACCCAAUGUACUAACGAUUGCAAAAUAAUCCCUCAGUCCAAAAAUACCUAGAUGUCCUUAUGCUAUAUAAGAAUGAGUUUUGGUCAAAUUUGUCAAAUGCUACUGUAUGAUAACAUCUAACAAUCAUUUCAUUUGGUGCAAUAGCUAAUAAAUUAAGUAGGCAAAGAUUUUACAAAUUAUUAGAAAUUGAAGUUAUUAACUUGUAUAAAUUAAGAUCCAUUUUUAUCUACUUUGGGAGCUUUGUUUUUGGUAAAAUUGUAAUAAAGUAUUUACAAGGAUCUUCAAAAGAUAAGAAUAUGUUUGUCCGUAUAAUUUUUUGGUAGUACUAAAUUUGCUAUAGUUUCAGUCAAUUGGUGAUAAACAACUCCAACUUCAAUCAAAUUUUUGAACUAUUUAUCUGGCAUAAUUUGUGGUGUAAUACUAAUAAAGUAUGUAUCUAAAUUUAGGUUGAAUUCUAAUGCUUUGUGAAGGAAGUCAGGAAUGAAAGCUUUAAUGAAUUCUAUUCAACCACUGUGGACUACUCAAUUACCAUAAGUUUAGCAAAAUAUAAGAGAAAUAAACAUAUUAUCAAACAUAAGUUUAAGACAAGUCAUAAGUUUCAUAGCAGAAGAUCAAACUACCAAAAUCAAUUAUCACAUGAUCACAUAGAUGAAUCAACUUUAUCACCAUAGCAAAUCAGCAGUACAAAGGUCAAACUACCCACCAAAUGAAUCAAGUAUUCCCAGAAAUCAGACAAUCAUAUAUAUAACCAAAUACAUAAAUGAACGAGCUCUGUCACCAAACUAAAUUAGUAUCACUAAGUAUACACUCACACCAAAAUCAAUUCCAGAACUAACUACAUGUAUAUCAAAAGAAUUUAAAAGAUUUAGUAGAAAGGAUAAAACUUUGGUUACCUUAUUCCAAAUAUUCCCUACAAAACUUUUCCUCACACACAUGAGGCUGACAUUGUUAAUGCAUUAGUAUGACCUAAUUAAAUAUAUUAACAUGUGCAUAGAAAGCAAUUAUACAUAUAUCACAAGUUAUUUGCAAAUUAUGACAAAUUUCAAUGUAAAAAAAAUACCGUUUCAACAUACCUUGGCUUGGAGAUUCUGAUUAGGAGAUGUAAGUAUGUAACACUCUUCCUAUGAAUCCUGUUCCUACCACAAAUACAAGCAACGCAAAAAAACACAAUUCAAAAAACUAAAAGUCAAUUGAUUGUUAUGAUUUGUCUUCAAAUGGAUGAAAUAUGGUUGCAAACAACAAUACUUUUGUUGAGCAAACCCAAAAACUGAGAAAAGGGGAUGAACAGAUGUCCAACACUUGAUACUUUAAAUUUUUCAAUAAUUAGCAUUAUUUUUUUCUUAACCAUCCUGGUCCUAGAAUGGUUGGAAACGUUGAAGACCGUAAGCCAAAUACAUGAAGUUGAAGCAGCAGAAUUUGAAUAGUAACACCUAUCUAGCCAACUUCUGCCAAUUAUCCCUAAUGAUUGUGUCUAAUAAAUCAUUUGCAAUAAACCCAUGCAAUGAAUGGAAUUUAGCCAGCCGAGAAGUCUAAUCAGUUACAUCAAACCAUCAUGUUCUCCAACCUUUAAUUUGCAACUCCCCAUCUUUAUGUAAUUACACCAAGACAAAAGCUAUUAUGAGUUGUACCAAUUGUUAAAAAGAGCAGUACAACAAACUCGCAUUCCCAAAAUACCCUUCCCUCAUUAAUUCUUUUCACUAAUUACCUACUAAACCACAUUCUCCCCAAUUUAAUUAGAGACUAAGGACGUUUAACUAAUUACAGCCACACAAAGGCUAUUAUCACUUGUAGCCACCGAUAAAAAGAUAACCAAAAUAAUCAUACAUUCCCAAAAUACCCAUGAAAAGACACAACCCUAUUUUUGGAAAUGUAUGACAAAAGAAUUCACCAUAAAUUGUACUCUACCUACAAUACAAACUUUAAAUGUACAACAUGAGGGCAUCUCUGUAAACAUACCCAAACACAUAUUGCUAUGAGUUGUACAAAAAACUUUAAAAAAGCAACGCAUUAUUUCACAUUUCCAAAAUACCCCUACCCAUGCGGUUGAAAUUCAAAGCCUCCUUUGACCAAAACUCAUUCUUAUAUAGUAUAAGGAUAAGGAUAUGCUUCUUUACAUUAUACGAAUAUUUGUCAUGAUUAAAGUUCUGAAGUAUUAAUGCAACACAUUUAUGAUGUAUAGCUUUGUAUCUUAGCAUAAACAUACAUUUAAGCAUUUGAAAACAAAAGCCCUGACCCCUCUAGUCGAGUUUGGGGUUUCCUACUAUAUAUAUUUUCAUAUUACACUAUGUUAUAUAAUUUCUCAAAAUAACAAAAUUUUUUUUCAAUACUCUAACUCCCUAUUUUAUUAGUUACUACAAAAAUUCUAGUGAUUAGAUUUCUAUGUUUAUUUUAUAUAGGAAAUUAUAUAGGAAAUAAAAUAUCCAAAUUCAAAUAAAUAAAUUUUGGAUCGAAUAACUAUUCAUCUAUUAUAUUUUCAUGCAAAUAGAAGGCAAGAAAAGUCUAUGGAAAGAUGAUGGUUUAAUUUGAUAUUAUUUAAGAAGGAGUUCAAAUGUCGGUGUGGCUAAAUAAAUCAACGGAAAGUCUUGGUUCUAUUAAAAAUAUCAGUGAAGGUGAUGAGCCAGAUAUAAAAGAUAGGACUAAAAACAUUCAAAGUUGGAGGAGUCGUGAUGAUUUUAGUUACAGCAAGGUUAAUCAUUUAUUCGUCAUUAAAAACAUUCGAAAUUUCAUCUCUGAUGACACUUUUUUAGUUAAGGAUAGUAAUGGAGACAAUUUUUUCAUAUAUUUUGAUUCUGAAAAUCAAAUUUUUGAGAUUGACAACAAUCAAAUUGUUCUAGAAAGUGAGAUAUUUUAAAAGUUGAAUUCUUGUUAAUUAUUGCAUGAACGUGUCAAUCAGAUAAAUAGUAUAGCAAGAGCAUAACAUAAAAAGUUCUAAUGAAUUAUCCUUUGCCCUCUAGUCGGAGGAACCAAUCAGCGAGCAAGGAUUUGGUUGACAUUUUGAUUUUUUUUUUUUCAGUCUAGAGCGUCAAUAACUUCAUAACCAUAAACCAAUAUGUACACCAUGUAAGUACAAACUAAGGUAAUGACCUGCUGUGGUAGCCACAGAUAGUAGCAAAGCUAGCUUAUCUAUCUGUAAUUACAUUGCUGUUAUUGUUACCAACACUUUGACAAUUUGACAUCAACUCUUUUUUUUGCUGCAAUAUUUCAUUAUUCAAUUUUUAAAAAAUGAAGUAGUUAAAAUAGAAUCUACAUGUAUGAUUGAGAAACCUCAAAGUUACUACCUUACUCUUGGUUUUAUAUUACUCUUGACUCCUUUUUUUUUCCUGUUUUUUUGGCCCCAUAUAUCGAGAGGAUUGGAGGAAUCGUGCCGGGUUAAACCUGUUAAGUGUAAUAACAUUUAACCCCUUGAAUUAGGGGCUGGUCACAUUUUGCCUAGUAAAUUUACUAUAUUAGCUAUUUAUCCCACGACUUAAUGAUACUAUGACAAUAUGCCAUUCAUAUUAUUUUUGUGCCCUUGAGUAUGCCCAAUGCAUGGACUAACAUUUCUUCUAUGUGUUCCUCUUUUUUUUUUUCUCUCACUUUUACUCCAUUCUAAUAUGAUACCUCUUUUUCUGUUCUACUAAUAUUAAUCUUAGACUUAAAUUAGAUACUUUAUAUGACCUUUAACUCAUUUUUGUUUCCUUUCUAGUUGGUUUACAUUGAAUAAUUAUUUUUCAGGACUAAAUUAAUGAUUAAUAUAGUGACCAUAUAAGUUUUUUGUUACCAUUAAUUGAUACCGCUAGUAUAGAUUAACAUUCUUGUUCUUGUUAGCCAUUUUGUUGAUGUAAUAGAAACCUAGUAUAAAUACGACUAAUAAAGAAUUUUGUCAUGAUGAAUUAAUUAUUAACAAUGACAUAUAAAGCAAAAAAAGAGAGAGAAUUAAAAUCCAUUGAUAAGGUAAAAUAAGUAUAAAAGUUUAUUAAUAGUAAUUGAGGAGAGAUAAGUAAGGCAUGACGAAAUGGAUUAUAGAAAAAAAUAAAAGUACCUAGGUAUAUAGAAUGGAUUAACUUUUUAUGCACUAAUAAUGUGGUAAUUUUUCACACUAGCAAUUUUGGAUGAAUGCCACAUGUAUAUGAUUUGCAUUUCAAAUUUGAAUUCACAUGUUAUAUGGCAAUAGUCUAAACCCGCUCACGUAAAAAAAUAUAUAUAUAAAUUAUAAACCGAUUGGAUAUAAAAAAGUUAUGCAUAAAGAAUUUCACAUGACGCAGGUAAUGUUAAACUAAUCUUUUUCAUUUCUCUUUGUGUUAAUUUUAAACUAAACUCCUUCAUUUCUCUUUGGCUUAAUUCUACCUUACACUAGGGGUGGGCAAAAAACCGCCAACCCGAAAAUCCGACGAACCCGAUCCGAUCUGAAAAAUAGGAUAUCCGAUUCAAUUUUUUUUUAGUGGGACAGAUGAGGGUCGGAUACCCACGAAAAACGGACACGGAUACGGAUCAGAAAAUUAAAAACUCACGGGUACCCGACCCACAGAGUAUAUUAUAUAAAUAUUAAAAAACUAGGGAUCAUUUUAUAAUUUUUAAUCCUAAAUGUAGGUGAAAUGACUCACAGCCUCAUAUUCUAAUAUCAUAUGAUCCGCCUCUCUUCAUAUUGUUUGAAAAAAGCGAAUAUUCUCGGUAAAAUCUAAAUCAAAUGAACAAAAUGAAGAAAAAUUUGUGAAACUCUAUCAUAAAAAUUAUUCAUCCCUUUGAUCCUUUUCAUUUUUAUUCUACCUUCAUCGAUCUUUCCUGCAAAAUUUUCAUCAAUUCAAUCAAAGAUUUGUGUUUGGAGUUCCAAUUUUCUAUUAGCUACAUAAUUAAAACAUUUGUGUCUUUCAUUUAUUUAUUUAUUUUAUUGUAAUUAUGUCUCUUAAAUUCGUCUCUUUUAUUUUAGUGCAAGAAUUUUUUUUUCUUUUUCAUCACCUUUAAUGCCAUAAGGUCUAUUCCAAAGAUGUAAGGAAAUUGGGAAAGAUUUUUCAAUCUCAUUUUGGUUAUACUUUCUCCAAAAAUAAUUAGCUCUGUUGAAUUCUUUUCGGGACUUGAUUCCACAAUCGACUCAUUUGGGAUGCAGUCUUAUACCAUAACAUCCUUAAGAAAGUUGGGGAAGUUGCCAGAUACUUAUUAUCAUUGUUUUUGUUGUAUUGUAGAAGGAUAAAAUCUGUGAGAAUGGUGAUAUAUUUAAAAUUAACAUGAAAUUUCGUUUUGUCUAUUAGAUAUUAUAAUUCUAAUAUGUACUAAAUUUAUGAGAUCGGUUUGAUUGUUGGAUGAAAUAUGUGAGAAUGGUGAUGUAUAGACUUUGUUUACAAUAUCUCUACCAAUAUUAAUUGGAAAACAUGUUUUUUUUUUAAAUUGAAAAACAUGUUGAUGUUUAGUGCAAACUAUAUUUUUUAUUGAAAAAUAGUUUUUUUUAGGGACGGGUACCCUAUGACCCGCCCCUUUUUUUCGGAUACUCGAAGAUAUUAAGAGCGGUUUAGGGUCACAAAAUAGUUGAUCCAAUAUAUUAGGGGUGACCUGUCCCUUUUUUUCGGAUAUUCGAAGAUAUUAGGAGCGGUUUAGGGUCACAAAAUAGUUGAUCCAAUAUAUUAGGGACGGGUAUCCAACCCGUACUCACCCCUACCUUACACUCUUCAAUAAUACUCUAAUUUUCACUUUGGUCCUUGAACUAUAAAUUGAGAUGCUUAGUCCCUAAAUUAUAAAACUCAUCCUACUUAAGUACAAUCAUUAUCAGAAGACCCACAACCAAUGAAAUACUAGUCAAGUGAGAAGCAAUUAUAACCCAAAAAUAUCCCAAAAUUAGAGAGAAAAUAGAAGUGUAGGAACAAAGUAAGAAUCAAAGGAUAGUUUGGAGACUAAAGUGUCUCAUAGUAGAGUUUAGGGACCAAUGAUGCAUAGGGAGUUUGAUCUCUAAUUGCUUCCAAACUUUAAAUAUGACUCAAACUACCACGGCUACAAGUGCAUUGAUCGUAUACGAUUAUAGGGAAUAUUUGAGUGUCGAUCCCACAGGAAAGAUUGUCAAGUACCCAUGUGAUUCAAAUUCUUUUAUUAUUUAGACUACUACAAAUAAAAUAUGUAAAUAUACACUAAUAAUAUGCAACAAAAGUGAUAAAAAUGACAAGAAAGAGGUUCCUAGGGUUUUGAAUUCCUAAUUACUCUUGUAAGUGAAAAUUACUAGUGAAUUGAGUUUAUUAUCUUGGUUAAGUCAUGGCUAAUUUCCUAAUAUAUGUGAUAUCUGCUUCCUCACGUACACCAACCAUAUUUGUAACUAUUCCACACCUACUAGUGUGACAUGAAACUAGUUAUAGAUUCAUUAAAUUAUUUGAAAUUAUAAAAUUAAAGUCACACAAGUGCAACCCUACAUUAGUGAGUGAACUUUUUAGGUUUAACACUUCCAUAAACUAGCAUUAGAUCUCAAUGUUUAUUGAUGAAACAAUGCCUUUACAUAAUCACAACUAAUGACACCAAAUUAAUCAUGAUUGUAGUAACAAAAGUGCUAAACAACCUAUAUAAGAUCUAACUCAAUUAACUACGAAAAAUUCAUGUGACAAGUAUAGAUAAUUCAUCCAUUCCUAAGUAUAUAAACUAGCAAAGCAUAAAAGAUAAGAAAACAAGAACCUAAUUUGUAUUAUAACCAAACAUAAGUAUCAAUACAAGAAAUAAAGUGAUAGGAGAGAUGUCACCCUUGUCACAUGAAUUUUCAACUUCUCCAUUUUCAUUCUUAAUUUUCAUCUAUGUUAGCUAGAUACAGGAUUGAUAAACUACACUAAUCCACACUAAAAUAAUGAAUUAGGAAAUUCUACUGAAAGCCUACAUUUUGGCAUAGUUCCUCAAGGCUUUAAAGUUACAAAAAUGCUUCACAAGAGGGCCUAUAUAUAGAUGAAUCAUACACUGAAUAAUCUUGUUUCAAGUUGCCCAAAUAACUCCUUGGAAUCUUCAAAAUUUAUUUCUUGAAAUCUUUAAGAUUUUUUGAGUAGCUACAGCUGAAAUUCGAUCUGGAAAUGAGCUAUAAAAGUUGUGGGAAAACUAUGCAACUUGCACAGCCGCCAUGAGAAAAUAUAGGUGAGAAAAUGCGAGUAAUGACCCUCGUUUUACCUCUCCUGCAUUUUCCUUGUUUUUAAUGGUUUCAUCCCAAUCUAAGGCUUAGUUUGGGAGUUUACGGAGGAAGAGAAAAGAAAAGAAAAGAUAGCUUAGGAAAGAAAGGAAGAGAAGGGAAAAGAUGCAUAUUCUGUUUGGGAGUUUAAUGAAAGAAAAGAAAAGAAAUAUCUUUCUCUUAUUUGAGAGUUGGAGAGAUAUGGAAAGAAAGGAUUUUAUGAGAAUACAACUUUACAUAUUUACCCUUUCAAUUUGUAAAUCAAAGUCCAAAAAUUAGCUUCUUGUUCCCAUAAAUAGAAUAUUUUAACAAGACAAAUUUCUAAAACAAUUGCAUCUGCAUUCCCACAAGGUGAAUAAUAAAACAAAUUUCUUGCUGGACUUCGAUUCUCUUGCAUGCAUGUAAAUUGCCUCAAGUCCUUGUAGUAUCUUUUAGGUAUUCUUGACAUAUAAUUUUUGAUAUUGGCUGGAAAUGCCUAGUAGGUUAUCUAUUUAACAUAAAUUAAAUAUUUUUAAAAAAAGAAAUAUCCCAUAAAGUACUAGCUCUUUAUGGCUUUUCUCUAUUACAUGAGCCAAGUACUAGGUUUUUAUGGAUAUUUUAUUCUGAAUCAUUUAAUUUAUGUUAAAUACAUAAAUAUUUGCAAAUAAAAUUCAAAAGUCGUUACACAAAUAUUUUUACGAAAGGAAAACUAGCAUGUUUUGUAUUUAAUAUAAAUGAAGUAUUUGAAAGUAAAAAAAAUUUAUCCAUAACAUAUCAGUUCUUUACGAGUUUCUUUCAUUAUAUGAAUAAAAUACUAGCUAUUUAUGAGCAUUUUAUAUUGAAUCAUUUAAUUUAUAUUAAAUACAUAAAUUUAAUUAAGCCAAGUUCAAAAAGUGUUACCCUAAUGUUAUUACCAAAUGAAAACUAGUGGGUUUUAUAUUUAACAUAAAUUAAAUACGUGAAAGUAAAAAAAUAAAAAGAAAUUACGUGUAACAUAUCAGCUCUUUAUGGAUUUUUUCUAUUACACGAAAUACCUUUUGUUUGGUGAAUUAUAGGUGAAAAACGGAAGAAAGCCAAGUUUUUGCUGGAAGUAUUGAAAUUAUAGGACACAUGACCGAGAAAGCUUUGCGGUGCUUUUAAAGAAAUCAAUUUUAGGAUAUAUUGGGAAUAAUAAAUUUUUGUAUCAGCUUUUAAAGAACAAACUUGACAUAUUAAAAAUGUCUUUUGGAGCCCGACAAGUUUCCGUCCUUUUCUUCCCACUUUUGGGUGGAAACAUUCUCAACAAUUGGAGGGAGACUUUUAUCCAUUCAUUUCACUUCUCUUCUGUCUUGUUAAACUCCCAAAUGAAAGAAAUGACCGUUCUUUCUCUCUGAAUACUUUCUUUUCUUCCUUUUCUCCCUAUCCAAAUGAAGCCUAAGGGUCAAAACAUGGGUUACCCUUAUCUUGGUCCUCAUUUUUUAUGAGCACGAGAUAUGCAUACAACAAUAAAGUUCAAUUCACAGUUAAGUUUUAAAUUUAUAAAAUUCUAAAUAUCCCAUAUGCAAUUUUCUACAAGUAUACGAGUUUUGAUUGAAUAUAGGGUAUUAAGGGUUAAACCCACAGAGAAGAAUGGAUAACUAUCGGCACUACUAUGCUCCUCUAUUAUUUAGAUAAUCAACAAAUUAAAAAAAAAAAAUAAAACUAAGCUAAACUAUAUAUGCAAGAAAAUAGCAAAUGAAAACUCCUUAGGUCAUGAUAUCCCUAACUAUUUAUGUAAGUGCAAUUUUGGAUCAUUAAGCACUAUUACAUUGACUAGUUAUAGUGCAAUUUCUUUAUGCAUUUGAAAUCUACUCUUGUAGUGAAUAAACUACACUUAUAAUUAAUCCAGACUUACUUUUGUGGUUAUGAAAUUAGUUAAAAGUUCAUUACCUCUAUGAAAUUAUAUGAAACAAAGCUACCAAAACCACAAAGGUGCAGCUCUACUUUCAUAAGCAUAUUCCCUAGGUUUAACACUUUCUCGAACUAGUGUUAAAUCCCAAUUUUUAUUGAAAAGACAAUACCUUUAUAUAAUCACAAUUAAUGAUACCAAGUUAAUCAUGAUCAGAGGAGCAAAAGUGCUAAAUAACUUGCUCAAAAUAAUAGCUCAAAUUACUAAGAAAUCAAUAUAAUAUAAUCAUAGAAAGUUCAACCAAAAACUUUGGAAACACAUAAUGAAGAUAAAAUCCAAACUUGUAUAUUAACCAAAUUUAGAAUCAAUUACAAAAGAUAAAGAGUUAUGAAGGUAAAGUAACCGUUAUCAUAUGAGCUUCCUCCUUACCUUAUUCAUCCUUUAGCUUUAUUUCCAUCUAACUAAUACACAAGAAAGGAUGAACUAACUAAGCUAAACUAACUAUCCUACACUACAUAAACUAAAGAGUUAAGAAACUACAUUUUUGUAGUAUUCCUUGCCCCUCUCCAAGCUCUCUUAAAAUGAAAGAUACAUGUUCUAUUUAUAGAGAAAUCUUCAAAUACUUCACCAGUAUCUUUCAUGCGAACAUACCUCUAAAUAGUCAACAAUUUUGGCUUGAAAACAAAAUCACAUCAUUAUUGAAGAAAUAAGGUCACAAAUUAUUGCUAAAAUCCCAUCUUAACAGUUGCAAAUGAGAUGUUAAACAUCCCUAAAAAAAUGUGAAAUAAUGGAGGUGAAAACAAGUUGCGCAAGUUGAAGUCGCAAAAUUUGACCGGAAUCCCUCUAGUGAUCCAUCCAAAAAUUGGCCAAAUUCCUUCCCUAUUUUUUUUUUUUAAAAUUUUGUUUCUUAUUCCAACUCAUUGCCUCAAAUCCCUUCGACAAUCCCUCCAAAAACUGGCUGAAUUCUUUGGAGGGAUUUGAGUCGACUUUCUUUUUCAACAUGUUUCUUCGUUUUCUUUUUCUUGUGACUUGAACCACCUUUGAAAGUUAUCAUCUUGUUUACUUUAGAACUUCAAUUAACAUAAUGCAAGUUUAUUUCUUAUCCAAAAUGAAGUUGAUUUCCAAAUCCUACAAAAAUAAUAAAAAAUAUGCAAGUAAAAGGGACAAAAUUCUCCUUUAAGCUCUAAGUAGUUUCUUAUAACUAAUUCUAGUAAAAAUGGACCAGUGUUUUUCUUAUAAUAUUGAAAAAGUGACUAAAAGUAAUAUAAAUAAUCAUUCAAAUAUACCACAAAAUAGUCACUCAUCAGUUUUCUCCUUGGAAGACUAAUUUUGUAGCUUUUGUCAUUUCCAAAUCGUCCUCAAAUCAUCUCUAACAUCUUACUUGUGUUUCACUUGAUCUAAAAUGAACAUAAAACAUCAAAACCCAUAAAAACAAUAAUAUGUUUUGCACAUUAAAUCAUUCAAAUGCAAGUUUUAGUUAUUAAAUGCAAUUGCUUAAAAGGAGAGCAUUUUUCAUCCUUAAAACCCUAAAAACAAACAAAACUAAGUAAUAAAACACACUAAAAAUAUGUAAAAUAAAUACUUAUCAACUAAAAAGGGAAUUAAAAUAUAGUUUAAGGACUGAAAUGUCUUAAUUUAGAGUUUAGGAACUAAAGUGGUAAUAUUAGAAAAGUUAAAGUUGCAAAAUGGAAUUAAUCCUUUCUUUGUUUCCCUUGUAAGAUUUAAAGUUUCUUUUGAAGAGAAAAAAACUCAAUCUUCUAGUGCUUGGUUGUUGGAUCAUGAACUUUUGUAUUAAAAGUCGAUUAUAUGAAGGUUGAUAGUUGUAAAACUUUCUUCAAAAAAGUACUUUCUAAUUAAUGUAUCAUAAGUUGAAAGUACAAUUACUAGUCUUCAAAUAGUAAAAUAUGAUUAAAAUAUGUGUACAUAUAUGCAUUACAAUUAAUUACAGUAAGCACAUUUGAACUAUCACUAAUCUAAACCAUUUAUCUCAAACUAUCAAUUGUAGCACUUAAAUUUAAUAUACUAAAAAAAUCGUAAUACAUUACUUAAACUAGUUAAAAUCCAUAGGAACUUUGAUAGUUAUUUUUUAACACAACACAAGACUAUUAGAACCCUAAAUGAAUAAAAGUACUUUGAUAAUCGUACUUAAUUUAGGGACUAAAAUGUUCUCACUCAAAAAUAGUUAGAAAAUUUUUGUUAUUUUUCAACUAAUUUCAAGAAUGUACUUAAAAGUGAUAGUAUAAGAAUUAAAGUGCUAUAAUUGAUAAGCAAAGUACAAUUAGGUGAUGCUUCGAGGCUCUUACGUCAAAUUUACCCUGUACACAAGUUGCAAAGUACAUAGUGGGUCGGAGCUCGCAACGGAUCUUCUGUCCCACAUCCUGUGCCACUCUCUGUGCCACUUUUUAUUAUAUUGCUAUUUCUCAUUCAUAAACAUCAUGUUUUAAUUCUUUUUUGCUUCCUUAAGAUCCAAUAACUAUUAAUUCAGUAAAAAAUAAAUAUAACAGCUUAAAAAAAGCAAUAUAUAAUAGAAAAUUAAAAAAUACACCAGAAAAUUCAUAAAAAAUCUCAUUUUUUAUGCAUUUUGAUUUUUUGAGUAUGUUAAAUUUUGUGUAUUACUGAAUUAAUAGUUAUUGGAUCUUAAAAAAGUAAAAAAGAAUUAAAACAUGAUGUUUAUGAAUGAGAAAUAACAAUAUAAUAAAAAGUGACACAGAGAGUGACACAGGAUGUGGGACAGAAGAUCCGUUGUGGUCUGAGCUGAUGUACAAAGACGUGCCCAAACCCAUUAUCAUCUCACGCCCUGGCCUUGGAUUGAGUUUGAGGUUGAAAGUUUCUCUUCAGACUCAUGAAAUUGACAUUAUCUGGGCCAUUCAAAACAUGGACAAACCUAACAUGUGUGACCUGAGUUUUUUGCCAUUAAUGGGUUUUACGAGCUUCGCACUUCUUUCCAAUUAUUGGAAAAUUUUAUAGCCCUUUUACUUUUAGGAUAUUGUCAUUUAAGCGGUUCCAUUUGAAUUAGUUAUUUUUGAAAUAUUUUACAAUAACAAUAUAUGUGAAAAACGCUUACUGUAGAUAUUUUUUGUAGUAUUUUUUAAAACUAUUUUUGAAUAUAUAUUUUGGGGCAUUUUUAAGAUUUAAAAUUUUAGUGAGGUAUUUUUAAAAAUUUCAAAAACUUUACCACUACCCACCACUCCGUCCCUUCCCUCCCUCCUCCUCUCUUCUUUUUCUGCCUUCCCUCUCCUUUCUUUCUUCCUCCCGCUUCUUCCUCCUCCUUCCUUCACCCCCCCUCCCCUCGGCGGUUCUCCCGUAACCCCCUUCUCCUCCCUCACAUUUUGGUUGCAAUCCACGACUAUAUCUAGUCACGAUAAUAGUGCAUACACUGUUAAUGUAUAUAAAAUUUACACUUAUGCAGUUAGCUUAGGAUAUGGACAUAAUCAUAUAGCAUAAUUUUUUUGGGUCUUUAAGGACUCGCUCACCUGUUGCAACCUGUUAUUAGGGAAAGAACUUUUUAGGAAAACACAACAAUUACUAUCAUUCAAGAUUGCAAGGAGCUUAUAGGAAAGGACGUUUCAUGUUUGAUACAACAUACUCUAAGAGGAGGCAACGGAGUAGGCCAGUGCCUAAUGUGAUUGGUAAUAUUACUGGUCAUGCUCUUGAAGUAAUUGGAACAUUUUCUCCAGCCGUCUUGGGGCUUUACAUCUUCUAUUUUAUUUUAUUUUUUUCAAAAUCCUAUAAACAAAAACACCUGAAGACCUAUCCAGACUAAAGGAGGGUACUGUUGUCCACUAUUUGAAUUUUAUUAACUGAAGGGCGCAAAGUUUGAAAACGUAAUUUAUAAUCCAAUGAAAAAUAUUAAACAAAGAAUUUACAUGUUUUAGGUGAUAAUUGUUGUGGAUUAGCUCCACCACACUUUAGAUGAUAAAGGAAUCAUAUGCCUAAGCCCUCUUGUAUACAAAAACACAAAAAAAAAGAGAAAAGAAUAAGAACAAGAAUAAGAAAUGCCCCCCAUCAAGCCCCUCAACUAUGUUUUUUUUUUUUUUGCGACACAAUGGAUUUUAUUCUACACCUAUUUCUACUUUAUACUAAGGAGAGGGGGACUUAAAUAGGUUAAAGGGGAAUUCGAAGGAAACUGAACUAUCACCAAUCCAAAUAGAUGCGUACUACGUAGACACUCAUUGGCGAAAUUUUCAAGAAAACUUGGAUAUUUAAAAUGCAAAUCCCUUGACCUGCAUCCAAAUAGAGAUUUAAAUCUUUCUUAGUGGCUAACAACUCUAUGAAUAGUUGGUUCAACUAUGCUUGUCACAACUUAUUGAAAAAAAAAGUGAAUAAGAAAAAGCAAAACUAAAAGCAUUAGUAAACUAAAACUUUCACUGUUCAAUAUCACAUGCUUCUAAUUUUGGGCCUUUGUGAAUUCUUAAUUAUAAACCGUAGUUUAGGUUGAUUAAUUAAAGCAAUUGUUUCAUUCUCCAUUUUGGAAAACUUAAUUGAACUGAUUUAGAUGAACUAUUUCUGCACUACAAAUUCUUUCCUUGACAGAAACGUCAAUGUUUAGGCUUUUUCCAUAUUAGCAAUAUAUUAUAUACAACGAGGGACUACGCAGGGAACAUAUAGAUCUCUUAGUGAUUAAGCUAUAGGAAUCUUGUACAUCAUCGAAAAUUUUGAAACAAAGAUUUUUAAAAAAAACUAAAAUAGUUCAACUAUAAAUUUUUUGACCGACACAUGAGGUAUUAAUUUCUCAGGCGGAGGAUGGGUUGAGUGGUACAAGGGAAAGAGUACGAGUGAGAAGUUUCGGAUUCGAGAACUCGCACUUACACUAAAAAAAAAAAAAAUUUCUCACGUUCAAUUUAUUUUGUCACCCAUCCAAAUUUCCAAGUACCCUCUAGGGAAAAAAAAAUAUCCUGCAGAUAACUUAUAAUUAAGAGAGACGCAAUUUGUCAACUAUGAAUCAAAUUAGUAAGGACUAAUUACAUUUACCCCCCCCCCCCCCCCGAGGUUGGACCAAACUAUAAAAUAAACCUUGAGGUUGACUAAAUUACAAAAUAAUCCUUUAAUCUUGCAAAACCAUAACAAAAGGGUCCCUGCCGUUAGUAAGAUGACGUUGACUGCUAAAUCCUAACAUAUUUAUACAAUAUUGAAAGUUCAAAAAAUAACCAUCAUUUCUUCCAUUUCCCCAGCUAUCAAUCUGCACCCACCUUGCUGCUAAAUACAUAUGCCGCCACCAUACUUUGGGCAUCAAAUUCUUCUUCUUUAUAGUCAAUCCAACUUUCUAGAACUCCCGUCCUUGAAUUUGUCCACAACAGAGUUUUGACUUGAAAAUUUCAAGAUAGGAACAAAAUAAUAUUGAAAUAAAGCCUAUUGUGACUCCAUGACCACGUCUGGGAAACCAUUUGAUUUCAUCAAAUGCAAUGAAAAUACUUCAACCAAUAUCAUAUAAGUAUUUAGAAUGUGUCAGAUGUUAUUAUUUUAAUACCCAACAAAAGAUCUUCAAUAUGAAAUUGUCCCACUCAUCUUUAGCUGAAUCCCUUGCGUUUUAGAUCUUUUCUCUUCAAUUUCAUGAGCUGCAAAUUCAACUGGAUGUAUUUGUGGACAUUUGUUUACUUGUUUGGAUGAUUUCAUUUUUUUACAUUUGGUUUUCUUUUAUUGAUAGACCUUUCAUGAUUUAGAAAAGGGGUAUGUUGUUCGUCAUUUUUAUGACCUCCACGGAUGGAGUUUAGAUGGUGUUACUGGCAGGGGAGGUCAAUGUUAUUUAACUAAACCUCAAGGUAAAUUUGGUAGUUUGGCCUAGCCUCAAGGGAGGUAAAUGUAAUUAGUCUAUUUAGUAAACUUCGCCUCAAAAUUUAUUUGAAAUAUUAUUUGAAAUAAUUACCGUAGUACUUUUGUGAUGUGAUGUAUGCGAGAUAAAAAGAUAGUUGAAAAUAUAAAAAAGUGAGUUGAAAAAUGUAUUUACGAUACAAGCGAAAUAUUAUUUGGAAUAAUUUCACUGUCCAAACAGACCUGAAUAUUUCCAUAUCAGUGAUGUACUACAGUACUACUAUAUAUAUAUUUCUUAGUGAUUAAGCUAGUAGUAAUACUUAACAAAAUAGCGGAUGAACUUGUCAGAGGGUUGACUAUUCCUUCAACUAGUCAAGAAUUAGGACAAGAAUUAGACAGUAAUUUUAUUCCUAAGACAUCAAAACCGAAUCAUCCGGCCAAUAACUUUGUGCCACACUGGAUACUUGACAACUGGGUUUAGGUUCUUUUGUCUCUAUGUAUACAAGUAUAUAUACAAAUUUUGCUGGAGGCACAACGAAGCCAAGAUAUUCCCUCCUUUUUCAGCAUACCAAAUGGUUCCCUAAUCACUUUUUUUUUUUUUGUUUUCGUUCGCAAUAUAUUAGCAAAUUCCUAUUUCAUUGUAAGUCCUCACAAUUUAAUUUUCUUCUAUUGAUUUUUUUUUUAAUCAUUUUUGUGAUUUACUUGCUUAUAUGAUUAUGUUGAGUUCUGAUCGAGGUUUGCUGGCUUUAUUUUCAUGGAUGAUGAAGAUAUUUUUUGGUUUUUUAUUUCUUGUUUAUCAAUCCCUCCCCCAGAAUCAAAAUUACUUAUUUCACUAUUCAACGGUUAUCAUUUUAGUUGGAGGGUAUGGUAUCAACAAGGGACGGUAGAAUCCCCUAAUGUCUUGUUUCCAGCUAUUGCAGGUGUAAUUAAGAAGAAGAAAUUAAACUAGAUGGGAUUGUUACUUACCAAGCUGAGCCAACUCUUUGCCCAGAAGCAAGCGCGGGUACUGAUGGUGGGUCUUGAUGCUGCCGGCAAAACUACUGUGCUGUACAAGCUCAAGUUGGGCGAAGUUGUGACUACCAUUCCUACCAUUGGUAUAAAUCUUCCACCAACUCUUUUCUAACAUUGGCUUUUCUAACCCAUCUAGAAAGUUGGUAUAAAUCUUCUAUCAUUGGUAUUUGGAACUUUAUACGGUUGCCUGUCACAGUUGCACACUAUUGACUCACUGUAGAGUUUAUGCACUGGUACAAUAGAUAUAAAUAUUAACUAACAAGUGUCUAUAGUCUGAUUAAAAUAUAAUUUAGGUGUCACAUUUUAGAAAUGUAAGGUAUACUAGGAAAAGUAAAUAAAUAUAAGGGAUGGUAAAUAAGAUUCAAUAAUGAAAGUAUAUAAAUGUAACAGAGGGUGAUAAUUGUUAGUUCGCGUGUAUAGAUUAGGUGAAUAUUAAGUGUGUUAAUGAGUGCCUAUAAGGCGUCCGCUAGAAAAACCUAUAUGUUACAAUACGAAUUUCAAAAACACAACAAAUUUCACAAGACUAACCUACUUACCUUAGGUUCCUAAUGUUCUUUUUUAUUCUUUGAAGAAAAAUAUAGAAAAUUUUUUAAUACGUACUUGAAUGUUCAUUUUAGCAAGGUGUUACUGCAGGACAUUGUGCUGUACUCUUGAACUGUAUUUUUAAAGUUUAAACGACUGACAACUUGAGUUUGAACUUUGUUACUGUUUUGUUAAAAUUUUGUGCAAAUAGAACUUUGCGAUAGAGAAUACAAUGAUUAAUUAAUAAUGUCUCAAUAUAUUUGGAACCAUACAUUUUAUCAAUUCAACAUCUUUUUAAGUGUUCUUAGUCAUGAAUUAUUUUGUCAGUUCAGCAUCUUUCAUACAUUUUAAGUGUCAUCAUUUACUUAUUUUUUUCUCUUUGUUUUUGCCAGGAUUUAAUGUGGAGACUGUGGAAUACAAGAGCAUCAGCUUUACCGUUUGGGAUGUUGGUGGUCAGGAUAGGGUAACCAUAUACCGCUUUUCUUUCAACUGGAUAACAUGGUCAUCAAUUUGGAGGCUUGACUGGCAUUAAAAUAUCCAUUGAAGAGAAGUUGAGGAUUCAUUGAGUCUUAAUUGCAUGAAUUGCUGACCAUUUAUUCCUGAUUUUCAGAUCCGACCAUUGUGGAAAUAUUACUACCAAAGUACUCAAGCAUUAAUCUUUGUCAUUGAUAGUAGUGACCGAGAUCGUGUAGCUGAGGCUAGGGAUGAGCUUCACAGGAUGUUAAAUGAGGUAUCCUAUUCCAAUUUCAGGUUGAUUUGAUGAUAGAAGUCAGGAAAACUUUCUACAACUUAAGCAUGAAUCCUUUCUUUCACUUUCUCUAUUUGCUCAUUUUCUUGUAAUGUAUACCUUGUGCUUCAGUUAGAAACUGAGUAAAGGUCAUUGACAAGAUUGUGGUUCAGGUGACAUGCUAUCAUCUUUGAAAUUAUAUAUGAUUCUAACAAAGAUAAAUUUGUAGGAUGAAUUGAGGAAUGCUGUGCUGCUUGUGCUUGCAAACAAGCAAGAUCUUGCCAAUGCAAUGAAUGUUGCAGAACUUACUGACAAACUCGGUCUUCACUCCAUCAGUCAACGCCAGUGGUAAAUUCUCUCUUUAUCUUCAUCCCCCUUUUCCCUCUAUUUGCUUUUUGUUACUGAAGAAGAAAUGCACCUUCCAUGUAAUUGAUUAUAGGUACUAUUGAUAAUGAUGUAACACAUGCGAUACGGGAAAUUCUAUGGUCUCUUUCGGGAAUCAUUCUUUCAAUUUCUAUCUCGGAGUGAUGAUAGUUGCUCAAAUUUUAAACGAUUGAAACAGAUAUAAUCUAAAGGUUCAAAACAAUUAUUUCACCGUCCAACGGUGAAUUAAAGUCGAGAGUAUGAUACCAAGUAACUAUAUAUAGAAUCUCCCCACGCUAUAUAUAGUGUUUGUGACUUGUACCUUAGCUGUCUAGUAACCUUUUCAAUUUGUUGCUGUGUUUGUCUGAAUGUACUUACUGGAUGAUCCAGAGCAGUGACAUUUUACAAUUUGACAGUGAAUCCAGAGCUGUGAUUCUUAACAUUUUGGGGAAAACUAAAGAUCUUCUUUUUGGUGUUUCUCAGGUAUAUCCAGAGCACAUGUGCAACCACUGGAGAAGGGCUUUAUGAGGGCAUGGAAUGGCUCUCUAGAAACAUAGCUGACAAGGUAGAGUAUUAUCAAAUUGCUCGGAGAUAAAUUUAAGUAUAAAUCUUAUAUACACUGUCAGGAUAUAUACUAUCACGGUUGGAUAAAUGAUAUAUGAACAAAAUUUGAAUAUCAAAUUCAAAUUUUACACGUGUGUGAUAUAUCUAACGGUGAUAAUGUAUGCACUAACAGUGUAUAUAAGAUUAAUCAUGUAGUCUAAAUUUAAUUCAUUUUGAAAAUCAUGUAGUCUAAUUGUUGUGUGUUUAUUCAUGUUGUUGCAGGACUAGAUGGUGGCAUCAUACCUAGCAAGAUUCUGCAGAUGAACUGUAACAACACUUUUUUGUUGUUAGCUUGCCUUCAAAUCAUCUUCUAUCUGCAAGAUAAAACUGCACUAUGUUGUAAAUUGUUUUUCUGUGCAUUCAAUAUUUUCAUCCAGCUUGUUCCAAACUUAUGGUAUAUUGACUUGUUCGGACAUCUAUGUGACUGCCAAUUGAUAUUGCCUAAGUCUGUAUUUUAUUCCUUCAAAAAAUGUUCAAGUUUCACCUUAUAGUUUCUCUCUCGGAUCUUCUUGUUGAUCAAUAACAUAAAAGCUAUGUUCUUUGCUGAGUUGAUAAUUGCAAACUUCUUUCAAAUUCAAUAUGUGAAGGCUUCAAUGUAAUGGCAGCUGGUGGGGAAGAAUGGAGGAUGAACCAAGUCUGUGCUUUGCUAAAAUGGGCAAUGAAAAAAAAAAAAAUUAACAGUUUAUUCUUGUUUACCAUUGGAAAAAAAUCUGGGCAUUUGAUGUAACAAUCUCCUAGUACUGUUGUUUUGUCUUGGUCCUUGGACCAAAUAUAAUUUAGUAGUUGAAAAUAAUUUCUCAAGUUAAAUUCAAAUAAGUAAAAUGGUGGAAAUACCGUUUUGAUCCUCAAUGUUCAGUAUCUUUGUGAUUUUAGUCCCGUUUCAACAAAAAUAAAUCCGCCCCCAAUGUUUGGCACCUGGUACAAUUUUAGUCCAUAAAGUUUCAGCAUUAAUAGGCACAUUAAUAGGCAAAUGAUUGCGCAUGAUUAAACUCUAUCAACAAUUGAAAAUUUUUUUGAAUGUUUUAAAUCUGCUUUAAAUUAGAUACAUUAGGGACCAUGUUUGUUCUUGCCCAAACUUUAAGGAGUAAAAUUGUUUAGCUACUAAACAUUUCGGUCUAGAUAUAUUUUUGACAAAACUUUUUUUUUUGGACGAAUUAGAAUUUUAUUAAAAAAAAAUUAGCAAUAAAUAUCCACAAGUCAGUGAAUUCCUGCUCUAUACAGUAAACUCCUAUCUAUAUUCCUUUAUAUCACCUUUGUCUAAAACCUCAAAUUUUUCGAUCUCCCUCUUGAUUAAGACUAAUAAAUUAACCAAUAUUAUUAAUUAUUUUACCAAUAUUUUACUUAGUGUCUGUUUGAUAACAUAAAAAGUGCUGAAACUGAAUUCAUUCAGACAUUCAGAUGUUUUGGGUGUUUGAUAAAUAAAAAUUUUUCUGCUAAACUUAUUAAGUGGUGCUGAAUUUGUAUGUAUUUUUUCAGCACAAGAAUCGUAACUGAAUGCUUAAUUUGAUAAGAAUCAAGAGUGUAUUGUCAUUUGGCAUGGCUUGUCGAAUUGAAGAUGAUAAAUCAGGGAAUGUGUAUCUUCUUUUGUCAGGCUAAAUACGAGUGUGCCAGGACCUGAUAUGUUGUCUCCCGUAAACGAGCUCGAGCUCGAGCUUCGAACUCGAUGAGCUCGGCUCAAUUUCGAACUCGAGUUUGAGCCCCAACUCGAGUUUUCUACCAGUAUAUCAAGUUGAUCUCGAAAGCUUUGUGAGGUUUGAAUUACUAAUCGAGCGAACUCGAACUAGCUCGAUUAGAGGUUCGAGUCGAGCUUGAUUGUCCUAUGUUCGAGCUCGACUCGGCUAGUUUAACAGCUCUAUGGAGUUCCUUGAUGGAACUUGAGUUUUUUCUUGAACUGUAUCAAGUAUUUAGAUUGGAUACUUGUGGUGUUCAAGGCAAGAUGAUCACGUCAUCUUGUUCUUUUAAGCCAAUAACCAAUCCACUAGGUUUUUAGAGACGGGUUCUCUUUAGGUCUAGCAAGGUAGUUAUUGUUUCAUAACUUAAUCAAGAUAGAUCCUUCAGUUUCCUGAUCGAUUCGAUUCUUCAAGACAGGUUCUUGUUGGGUCGAGUUCGUAUCACAGCUGAUUGACAAGGUCAAGGUAGUUCGGUAUAGAGUCCGGCCAAUUGAUAGUCAUGGUAGUUCGGUAUAAAGCUGACCAGUUGACUAUCAUCGUAGUUCGGUAUAGACCCCGACCGAUUGACCUAUAUAUGUAAUGAGACCAAUCGGUAGUCAUGAAACCUAUUGGUCGCCCACAUAGAAGGGGUUUAAUUUCUAGACUGAUUACUCAGAAGCCGCAUAUUGCAUGUGCUUGUUUGUGAGCUAUGUUUAUGAAAUGAGAUGGCAUGAUUGAUAUAUUUUUUGAUUUGCAAGUAUGUUCAAUGAAUAUAAUCAUGUCAUAUUAUGUGCAUUUCUAACCCAUGUUCGGCAGGAGCCAUCUCUAAAACUUACGGGACUAAGUGUCACGUCCGAUAGAUGCCACUUAUGUAUAAGCCACUGACUUUCAAUGAAAUAUAUUUAUAUAAUAUAUGAAAUGGGAUGACAAACAUUUUUAAUUGAUGUAUGCAUGUGACAUGGUGUGACCAAAUUUGCAGUUGUAUAUAUAUAUAUAGUAUGUAUAUAGUUAAAUGAUCUAACAGGGGAGUAAGUACUACCUACUGGGCAUAUGUCGCUCAACCUACGUCUAUUUAUCUUUCUUGCAGAUCAAGAAAGCCGACUCGUGUACGUUUAAAAAAUAAGUGAGAAAGGUUUAUAGAUAGAUGUUUAAAUCUUGAGAAGUUGGAGUAAAGCAUUUUGUAGAUACAAUUUAGUGAAAUGUAUGUAUUUCAUUGGUAUACGUAAUAUAUAAAUUUUAGUGAAAUUUUGUAAGUUAUGAUCAUGAUGCCUUGUAUUUAUGGGAGUAAGGUCUUAUAAAUAUGGCAUGCCAUGUUGCAAAUUGAGCUCAAGUACCCAGAUUUGGGGCGUGACACUUUGCAUCAGUGAUUAACACAAUUAAUUCAGUGAAAAGUUCUCAGGAUCAAAAUUCCACUCCAAGCUUAGCUCCUAAUUUGUUUAGUUCUUGGUAACUUCCUCCUUCCAGUUCCUAUAUUUCUAAUCACUUGUACUAUCUUCCGGAUCACAAAAACUUUAAAGAGUAAAACUAUAUAGCUGCUAAACAUUGGGGACUAAACCACAUUUUUCUCAAAUAAAAUUGCUCAAGAUCAUCUCGCCUCGCCAUUACCCAAAUAAUGUAAACUUUUACUGUUCAAGUAAAUUGGCAUGGCAGAGUGAACAAAAGCUUCAAUAUCUUCAAGGUUGACAAUCAACUAAGAAAUAUAGUAAGGUUGAGGCACAUAAUGUUUCUUUUUCAAGACGAUUUGCAUCCCUAUGAAAUUUUUAACUUUGAUGCAGAAGGUCACAGUGUGCCACCCAUGUUAUUCCUCAGUUAUGUAUUGGGUUUCAAAUUAAUCAACUAACUAGGAGAAUGAAACCCAUUCUAGUUUUAGACCAAACAAGUUAGGGGGAUGACCAAAAUUGAUGUUCACAUUGAAGUAUAUAAUUCCAAUACAGAUGCUGAUUUUAUUAGGGGUAUAAACGAGUCAAAUUUAAUUGAGUAACUCACGAACUUACUCAGUCAAAACUCAAACUCGAACUAGUAUUGUCCGAGUUCAAGCUUGAACUAGUCAACCGAGUAUGAGCUCGAGUUUAAGCAGCUCGAGUUGCUUGAUGAAUCAAGGUCAAGGCUAAUAUGUGAAUCUUGACCACUCUCAAGUUUAGUCGAGUUCAAUCAAGCUUUACAUAUAUAUGAUUUUUAAAUUUUUUUUAUUUAUUAGCAUGAAAUGUCUAUUUUGUCCCUUGUUUAAAAUUAUAUAAAACAUAAAUUUAUAUUUCUUAAAUUUGAUUAUGAACUGGGUUCGAUUUUCACGAGUUCGAAAUUGAACUCGAGUAAGGUAAAAUAAAAUCUAGCUUAAGCUCGAGCUCGACAAUUUCGAGCCCAAAUUUUUUAACUCGAAUAGUAUAAUAUUCAAAUUCAACUAGACUCAAUUGUAUCCCUAUAUUUCAUUCUGAUUCUUAUUUUCAUUCCAAAAUUCAAAGUAAAUGCCUCCUUAAUGUAUGUUCAAAAGUAGAAGUAGCUAGACAUGACCACUCUAAAUGGAGGAACUAAACAGCUAGAAACCUGCAGCUCGAGCAAGGAUAUUGCUGACAUUUUGACAACUAUUGUUUUCUUAGCCGUUAAAAAUGGGGUUAAAGUCGAUCACAAGAUUCUAAUCCAAAUAUAUGAUGUGAUCUUUUAAAUAUGCAUAUCUAGCUGAGAUAAAUGUGCAGCAUUAGUGAGUGAUGCAAAAAAGCUUGUGUUUGCAAACAAGCAAAGAUCUUUCGCUUACACAACGAUAACUCUCUCUGUCUCUCUCUCUCAUUAACGUCCCAUUAAGGCCCACACGUAUACCUCUUUGCAUUUUGGGUUUCUCAGGUAAAUCAAGAGCACAUUUGCAGGGGGGCUUUUAUGAGGCAUUCCUCUCUAAGAACUUACCAAACAAGGUAGAUUAAUGUUAUAUACAUGUAUAUGCAAUCAGUUUUGAGUAAAUGAUAACUAUGCAAAAUUUAAAUUCAAAAUCUAAUUUUUGUACACGUAUCAUAGAAUUAAUGGUGAUAGUAUACAGACACUAUCAGUGUAUAUAAGAUUUACUUUAAAGUAUUGACAAAUUGUUCAAAGUUAAAUUUAAUCUUUUCCCAAAAUUCAUGUCUAAAUGUCUAAUUUUUGUGAUAUGUUGUUGUAGGCCUAGAUGAGGGCAUCAUGCCUCAUGAUUCUAGGAUCGCUAUCUGUUUGGAUACACUAGUUUUUCAAAAACAAAAUUUUCAAAUACUAUAAAAAUUUUUAAAAAGUACUCUAAAAGGUACUGUAAAAAGUAGUCUAAAUUUUUUUUAAUAUUUAAAAAAUAUCUUAAAAUAUAUUUUAAAAAGUCUACUAUUCUUAAAUAUUCCAAAAUAUUUUCUAAAAACUCUGUUACAGUAAAAUUUUUCAAUAACGCCUCCAAAAACAGUUAAUCCCACCGGAGUGUUAGUUUGCUUUCGAUUCAUCUUGCAUCUGCAAGAUAAAAAGGCCAUAUUUGUUGUUGGUUUUUUUUUUUUUGGUACAAUUUGACGUUUUUAUCCGGUUAGUUCCAGGCUUAUGGCAUAUGGGUUUGUUAGGCAAUAUCUUGCAUCAACGAAAUUUGAGAUAUACCACACGAUCCAAAAUAAUGUUACAUCCAAAGCAGUUUGGCAUGUAACAUUUCUUUGAACUAGCAAAAUAUUGUUUCAAAGAUCUAUGUAGUAUAACUAGAGCUGUUAAUUGAGUCGAGUAUUUGGCUACCGAGCUCGAGUCGAGCUUGUUAGGCAAACGAGCUUUAAAAUAUGUUCGAACUCGGCUCGUCAAAUGUACAUGUGGCUCGAACUCGAGCUCGUGCAAAUUAAUCUCAAUAAAAUCUAUAAUUUUCAAUUUUUAUACUUUUGACUUCUAAAAUGACAAAUAUGCCUUUUAUUAAUGAGCUACUCGGAUAUCAAACGAACCGAGUAAAAUUAAACAAGCACAUUUCUAACUCGAGCUCGGCUCGUUUACCGCAACUAACGAGCCGAGCUCGAGCCUUAUCGAGCCGAGUUCUAACGAGCUUUUCGAGCUACUCGUGAAGUUUAACAGCUCUAAGUAUAACAAGUGAUAGUACCUAAGUUUGCAUAUAUUACUUCAAUGCUCAAAUUACACCUUCCUUAUAAAGCCAGAUUUGUUAAUGAGUUAAUUGAUGCAAACUUGCUUAAUACCAGCUUCAAUGCAAUGGCAUGGAAAAAGCCUGUGCUUGUUAAAAUGGCGACGGAUAGGAGUAACCGUGUAUAAAUCGAUCUUGUUUAACGUUGAACAAAAGCUACCCAUAUUAUGACCACAAUUUCUUAAUGUUGGUCUAGGUGGUAUACAAGCAUACAAAAAUGCAAAACUUUGCAGUACACAAAUUUUAUAAAGAAAGUAAGAUGGCAGAUGAUGAUCUUGAGGUGUAUUUGACACCAUUUUUAAGGUGUUAUCUGCCUCCACUACAUAAAAUAUUUGUUAUUGUGUCAUGACAAAUUCCCUCUAACAUACAAAAAGAUUUAGAAAAAAUAAAUUACAAAUGUCAUGAUUUUCUUCUAAGAAUGAUCAAUGAUGAAAGUUCUACUUAAAAUUGCCUUGUUUGAAAAGCAAUUUUUCACAAAAAAGACUUUUACAUUUUUCAGCCAUCUUACGGAAAUUGUACCAUUAUCGAACCAUAUGAAAGUAAGAGUUACUCGUACGGAUUUAAACAUGUAAACUAAGAGAUGUGAAAAUAAUUUGAAAUUUAAAGUCUUAUAUUUCAUGAAUUUAAAUCAUCAUAUUUCAUUCUUUUAAUUUUUAGGAUUAAUUGCAGUUUGCACCAGUCAACAAUUUGACUAUUAUACUUUGCAUUCCGAACUCUCAAUUUCAGAAAUCUAUUACCUUCGUCUUUUAGUUUUUAGAACCAUUAGCAAAUCAAGCUAAACUUAAUCAAGAAAAAAAUGAUUGUACUAGUUUAUUCUCAAUUUCCUACUAAACAUCCAAAAAUGCCAAUUCAUUUUCAUAUUAACAAAGUCAAAUAAAUCUUUUGGAACACCUUCAAACACACAAUCUAAAAAAAAAAAAAAAAUGCCAUGUCAAAUUUCACCACCAUCAGCACAUCAACUACCACCAUAACUUCUUCCCAUACCAUCAUAACCUCUCCACCAAUUUACCACCACUACUAUCUUAUCACAUCAAACAAAUUAAUACCAAAAAAUAUACCAGCCAAGAAAAAAAAAAGAAAAGAAACCUUAUUAUCAGACCAAACAAAUUAACACCAAAGAAAAAAAAAUCACAAGACAAGAAAACAAAAAAAGGAUAAAAAAAUUCCAUAUCCAAAUCUUAUCAUCAUAAACAGCCACACUAACACGACCACCACCACCUCGUAAGUUUAGCACCAUCAAAGCCUCUUAAACCUUAUCCAAUGAAUUAAUCCCGAAAAAUCAUCAGACAAAAAAGGAAAAUCAACAACAAAAUAUCCCAUACACAAAUCUUUUUAUGAUAGGUGGAUUUCCACCGCACCGUUACCAUAAUCUCUCGACCUCUCGAAUCCAUUAGGAUGGCCAUCUUUUCCUCCAGAAAAAGUAAAACCUUUUUUUUUUCUAACUUUUUUUUUGUCAACACCAUAUUUUAAAUUCCAAUCCUUCAACAAUUAAUUCAAAAUUUCUAACUCCUCCAAGAUCCAUUUUUUUUUUUUGCUCAAAAAAAAAAAAAAGAAUUUCACACCACCUUUGCUCAGCUCCUCGUUGGUAGGAUGGGAGGCGUAAAACCCUUCCUUGGGACAGCAAACCGGAAGCGUGAAGGCAGCGGAGGAGGGAGAGGUGGGGUGUUGCAACUUCUUCUCUGGGAGUGGAGUUGGGGAAGCUGGGUAGGGGAUAGAAAGCGAGGAGUUGGGCUUCACUACGGUUGUUUUCUGAGAUAAUUCUAUGAUGGGGUUUUGUGGGACUCUGGUGAUUGAAUUCACAAUGCAGGAAUUUUUUUCAUUUGAAACCCUUUACUUAUUAGCUAAUUAUUGGUGCCAAAUUUGCAUAUAUAGGAUAAAUUUUAUAUACAAUGAUAGUGUAUACAGUGUUAUCCCGUUAGAUUCAUGACAUAUGUAUAAAAGUUACAUUUCAAAUUCAAAUUUUGUAUAAUUAUCAUUCAUAUAAAAUUAAUAGUGUAUACAUUGUCGGUGCAGAAAAAAUUAAUCCUGUAUUAUAUGGAAAAAAAGGGUAUUUUUGGAACAAAAGACGACAAUGGUCCUUUUAAUUGCCAGAGUUUAGUGGAUUGUAUUAGAUUGCCAAAAAUCAAAGCUUGAAAGUUGUUGAUUGCUAAAAUUAAGGUUUAGAGGCGCAAACUGCAAUAAACCCUAAUUUUUAGCCAAAGAGUGAGAUAAGUUUUAGAGUGACUUGCAUUUUCUUAUGUUUAAUGUUACAUUGUCUAUAUCUAUUGUUUGUAAGCUCACAAAUAAUAAAACAAUUUUUUUGUUGCAUUUCAAACAAGGAUUUCACGAUUUCACGAUCUUAAAUUUGUACUCUGAUUAUAUGCCUUCCAAAACAAUCAAAUGUGAUAUCUCUAUUUGAAAAACCUUUAGAUAGCCUAGCAACAUGGUUACUUUUAUUUGGAAGGGAAUUAUUUUCCUAUUUAUACAUGCUAAUGUUUUAAACUUACACCAAAGGAUGUACCUCUUUCACAAUCAUUUCAAAACAUAUUUAAAAAUCUGCUAAACAGGUGAUUUGGGAUUUAUAAUUGAUGAAGAGGUCACAAAGGAUACUUAAACAAAAUUUCAUUAACAAAUAUGUGUCUAAACAUGCCAAAAAAAGGGUUAAACUAUAAAUAAAAACGUCAAUCCACUUUAGUGUUCAUAGUCUCAUAAUUAAUACAAAUUUUUGUUCCCAUAUGUGCUAUUUUCGAAAAAUUUCCCACAUAUUCAUUAAGAUGAAAGACAAGCCACUUUGUCAUACAUGAACUGGAUUCAGCUCCACAACAUGUAUGGAUCUCGAACAUUCAGUAUUGAAAUGCAUAUGAUCUAUAUAUAUAUAUAUAUAUAAUAAAACGUACAAAAUAGACCCAAGCAUAUAUAUAUAAAAAUAGGUCAUAUGCAUUUUAGAGAUGUGAUUUUGAAAACCAUGGAUACAAAUUUUCCGUUUGAAUUAGGAGUUUUCUUAUAACGAUGUAACGUUUGUAUAAUAAAAAGAUAAUUAAAAAAAAAAAAAAAAAAAACAGGUGAAGGACUAAAACGAGACCAAAACGAGACUUCUUAAGGACUGUUCGAAAGUCAACUAGUCCAAAUCCAAAUCCCAAUCCUCCUCAACGCUCUCAGUCUCCAGUUCACUCUCCUCUCCGGUCAUCACUCAAUCAACUUCUCCCGCCGGCCACCAUGGCACAAGAACCCGCCACCAGAAAGCUCAAAAUCAUCGCCGGAGCCGACUCCUUCGGCUGCACGCUCAAAGACAACUUAGUCUCCCAACUCCGCGAUCUCAGCAUCGAAGUCGAAGACCUCGGCACCAACAAAUACUACUCCGUCGGUGAAGAAAUCGGCCGACGCGUCAGCCAAGCCUCGGCUAACCCGGACCCAUCAGUCGAAACCCGUGGCCUGGUCGCUUGUGGCACCGGCGUCGGCGUAGGCAUCUUCGCGAAUAAAUUCCCCGGCGUCUACGCCGCAACGUGUGUCACCCCAGAAGAAGCCCACAACGCCCGAUCAAUCAAUAACUGCAAUGUCCUCGCCGUCUCCGGCAUGUUGACGGAGCCCGAUGCCGCGAAAAAGAUUCUCCAGAAUUUUCUAGAUACUCCGUUCAAAUCUCCCUGCCCUGCCUUCGGGUCGAACCCCUGGCCGGCUGAAAUCGAAACAUUUUUGGAGAAUUCCGUCUCAGAAAUGUCAGGAAUAGGAAAAUCGGAGGAGAAGGUAGAUGUUCCGUGUGACUUAUGCUCAUUGCUGAAGAAUCGGAAGGAGGGGGAUUUUACUCCGGUGGAUAUAAUGCCCGGGGCGUCGAUGAAGAUCAUCAGGGAGAAUCCAACAUCGGCUCUAGUUCGAUUUAAGGCCGGGGCGAUGGAGCCGGCGCAUCAUCACACAUUUGGGCAUGAUCUGGUGGUGACCAAGGGGAGCAAGAGGGUGUGGAACUUGACUAAAGGGACGAAGUAUGAUUUGGUUGCGGGAGAUUACUUGUUUACCCCUGCUGGUGAUGUGCAUAGGGUCAAGUAUUUUGAGGAUACCGAGUUCUUCAUCAAGUGGGAUGGGCAUUGGGAUAUCUUCCUGGAUGAGGAUCUUGCUGCUGCCCAUGCUGCUGCAGAAAAGGAUGCAAAUUAGUUGGUGGGAUCUGUCUGGAAAUGUAAAAUGAUGGUAAAAAAAAAAUUGUACUACUUUCUAGUAUGUCUCUAUGAGUAAAGUUGCUUGCUUCAGUUGCUUGUUAUAUGGGUGGUUUUAGUUUGAAAUAUUCGAUUAGGUUUAUGUUUGGUUUGAUGUAAAAUUUGCUUUUUGCUGUAUCCCCAAGCAGAAAAUGAGGAAUAUCUUUGUUUGAGUUUGAUGUAACAAAUGAAUCAUGAGAAAAUAUCAUGUCUUUUUUCAAUUAAAGUGCAAUUUAAGGGAUUCUGAUGAUGAACAAGUUGUUGGUUAAUGGUGAAGAGGAGAAUACUGAAGCUAUUUGAAUUACUAUUCACAUGUUGGAUUAUGACAGAGUGCUUUUUAUCUAUUAUUAUCAUGGUAUUUUAGCUUUAGUAUGCUAGAAAGAAGAAAUAUUGGGAAGUUGAGUGUCCCUCCACUCAAAUGUAUGAGAUGAGGAUUUAGAUUUUUAUUACUCUAAGUUUACUUGUAGCGUAUAAAUUGAAGAGGAAUGGGAAGGUCAUCAUGUUGUAAGAACAUAGUUUUGGCUGAGAAACUUAUAAUAUAUUAUGCAAAUUGAUUUUACUUUUUUGAGUAGGGCGCACAUUGUCAAAUUUCUUUUUGCGAGUUAUGCCUUUAUACAUCCCAUUGGAUAUACAAAUCAACAAUGCUGCGUAGAACUAUAGUCAGGGGCAAGAGAGUGCUCAAAAGUUCAAAAUUUUGUGAUACAAUUUACUCGGAAUUAACAUAGGUUUUACGGACCAUCAGUUUCUUUUGUUACUUGGAUCAAUAUAUUCUCAAACUUUCAGUUUAUGAUUUAGAUGAAUCCUCAGCAAUUUCUCUUGAGAAUAUUCUUUUCCUACUUUAUUCCUUCACACUCAAAUUGUUGUUGAUAUUUCAGAUUUGGAUUUGCAUACAACCUACGGUUCAAUGGCACAAUAUGCUUAAUUCUUGUUUCCUUUCUGUCUUGGUUAUAGUGCUAAAACUGUUUGUUUCUUUCAUGUCAAUUGCAUUAAGUUGUGGCUAUAAGAUCAUGAAGUGACUGUGAGUUGGAAUAUUAUGCCUACUUAUUAAGCAUUAUCUUCAUCGCAGCCAUAUCAAAUCGUUUGGGAUAUGGUAACUGAAAGAGUUCUACUAAAUUGCUUAGCUUUCACUUGAAAUUAUUGCAGUUCAGAUUCACAGCACGAGUGUUUGAGAAAUGUUGCAUUCAGCACUUAAAUAGUAGCAAAAUUUAUUUUUCGAUUGAGAAGUUUGUAUUUUUAUUUAUUUUUUUUGGGCAAGAUCUAUUGAUGCAGUUCUAAAUUUUGUGAUACAAUUUACUUGGAAUUAACAUAAGUUUUAUGGACCAUCAAUUUCUUUUGUCACUUGGAUCAUUAUAUUCUUGAACUGUCAAUUUAUAAUUCGGAAUGAAUCCUUAGUAUUUUCUUUUAAGAAUUUUCCUACUUAUUCCUUCACACUCAAAUUGUUGUUGAGGUUUCAGAUUUGGAUGUUGCAUUCAGCACUUAGUAGCAAAAUUGAAAUUUUCAAUUGAGGAGGUUUUGUUUUUCUCCUCUCAAGAUCAAUUGAUGCAGAUUACAUGAAGGAGAUUUAGAAGAUAAUACGAGAGAAUGUGCAACUUGAUUAUGAAUGCAAAUGCUGUCUUCUGGAAAGGUUUUGUAUGAAGCUGAUAUAAAAAUUGUAUGCUGAGGAUAUUUUGCAAAUUUGUCCGCAUGCUUAAUGUUGGGCUGCUGCAUCGAUAACUUUUGCUCUGGCCUUAGUGUAGCAUAGCCUUGCAGUAGAGAUGAAAUAAGAUCAGUCAUAUCUUGUCAGAUCUUCAUCUCUAGUUUUUAUUUGAAACUUUGGAGAUCAAGUAGUGUUGUCCCCAAGAGUAAUUUCCCUUCCAAAUUUUCAUGUAUCAGAGCAUAUUGGGUAGCUUAUGAAAUGGAGAAUGUUAUCCAGAAACCAACUCCCUCUCUGAGUCACCCAAAAAAAAAAAAAAAAAAAAAGAACUCCCUAUCUGUGAGUCCCAAGUUCUCUCAAUCCUUUUGUUCAACUUCUUCUGUUCUUAGUUUUUUGCUUUAUCUACUUUCAAAAGCGUAUGCUUCAUUCAUGUAUUCACCGCAUUAACUCCAUUUAAGCACAGAAGCGUUGCAAUUUCCUGCAAAGCCUCUUAAAAUAAAGCUAAUAGUGAUUUAGCCUCUUCUCUCUCUGUCUCCAUCACAAACUGGAUGUGCGUAGUUUGGAAGCUGAAAUUAAGGUCCUGCAUCAUUCGUGAAGCUACUAUUUUCAUGUAAUCUACCUUGAUAAUUAUAGAUAAGGAAUCUUUUGAGCUUAAAUGUGUAUGUUUUGUCUUCACUCUUUAUUACUUGGAGUCCCUUCAGAAGUGUAUAGAAUGAUAAAACUUGGGCAAACCCAAGAAGCUAAUUGCGCAAAGAAAUAGUGAGUAAUUUUAUUUAGUGAUGAUUGCAUGCUUAGGGAGAAGAAGUGUUCAUGAGAAAAACACAUGGCGGAAUUGAAGGAUAUGAGAGAAAUAUGUAUAUUCCUUGCUUUAUAACUGCCAUUAGUAUGUUUUAUGGGACACGAGCUUCUCUGGCUACCUGAGCUGCUCGAUGUUUUCUGUCAACUAGGAAUGGCUCUGGGCGGUAUCUGUCUCAUUAGUUGAAGUCAUUUUCUUCGUGGUUCUUGUCUGUGCUUAUUUGGUACUUAUGGGGAUGCCUCUGCUGCCUUUGGUUUUCUUGUGAUUCUUUUCUGUGCAAAUGGAUGGUAUUUGGCUGAUGCCUCUGUUGCCUUCUGUAAAUGUUUACCACGACUCUCAAGAAGCAUCUUUGCUGGUGCAUUUGUAUAUUGCUUUUCGAUGUCCCGCAGCUUGGCUUCCAUCUCCGGAGUUUGUUUUUGUAGCAGCUGUUUGGUUGAUUCUGCCUCAGGUGGAUCAUCUAAAUAGGUUAAAAGCAUUAUUGACACUAGUUAAGUUGGCAGCAAUUGAUGUGAUGCUUCUCAGAUGAUGAUUAUUUUUUAUUUUUUGUGAGAGCAGUUUGAAGCAUUCAAGCACUGAAUGGCUUUUGAGUAAAAAAAUCUCAAUAUCAUAACUAGGUUAUACGAAAGCUGAAAUUGUUUGAUUGUCUAUAAUUUUGCAUGUGUCCAUCCGACUAUGAUGAAUCUGAACAUUGUAGUUGUGUGAUAAUGUAACUGUACCGCUUGAUUCUUGAUUGAAACACAAUCCAGUUUGCCUGUGGAUUUUGGCCGCUAUCCUUUUUGCCAGAAACUGAAUCUUGUAAUUAUAUAGGAGAAUGCUGGCAUGAUUUGAAAAGCCUUAAAGGUAUAUUGUGCCAGAUAAUGUAGUGAACCAUUCUCAGGCAUAACUAAACUUAGCACAAACUUCAUUUGGCUAUGAGCAGCAAUACGGGAAUUACGCCAUGGUUUGAUCUUAACCUCAACGGCUAUUAAACUAUUAUUAUAAUCAACUAUCAAACUAUUUUAGAUGAACGCCAUGAAUGAUACCAUAUGGUUAGAUUGAACUAUUUCAGAUUAUCUAUCAAAAAUCAAUCAUAGGUUUAGUUGUGAUCUUUUUGAACAUCUUUUUCAUCAGUUCCUAAAAUGGAAACGACUUGAUUGAUUUGUAUGCAACUAUACCAGAAGAUAUAAGAGCAAAAAUACAACAAAAUUGUGAAAAAAGAAGGAAAAGAGGAGAGCUGUGAAACAUACUCAUGCAGUGAUCAACACACAAGAUAUUACAGGCGAAUUCCAGUCCCCCCCACUUCUGACAGAUAUUGGGACAUUCCCGGGCGCAAGGUGAAUCCGCCUCCACCUCAUGGUUCAAAACAAGAACAAGAACUAGAACAGCAAACAAAAGAGAUUGCACUCUCCCCAUUCUUCUUGUUUUUCCUCUCUAGUUGUUUUUCUUUUAUUGAAUGCUAGAUGGCCUGUGGCCCAUGAGAGUGUUAGUUUUGUGGAUGGGGCUAUUUAAAGCAUUUGUUUGUUGGGGGAAAGGGGGGGGGGGUAUGUUCUGUUCUGGUCAAAUAUGUUCAGAAUAAUAGAAUCUAAAGUUCCUUAUUCUAUGGUUGGAAUUGGUUAAAAAAAAAUUAUUAGCUGGAUGAUGUCUUUGCUAUUCUAGAUGAAGAGAUCCUCCCAAUUUCUCAGGUGCACCUCAAAUUGGUUCUCAAUUUGCCAAUCAUGUACAUAUAUGAUAUGUACACUGCUUUUGACUGUUUCUUGAAAUCUUGAAUUACAGCUCAAGGUUGGUAUUAAACAGUUGGAAAUUACCUUGAUUCUGAUUUUUGACCACAAUAUUCAAGGUAUCUGAUCAAUGGAAUUGCAAUGCAUUCGGCAGUGCCAUUUCCAUUUUUAUUUGCCAGACAUCAAUUUCGUUGUACCUAAGCCAAUCUAAGUCUUCGAGAGGUGUAUUUGUCCGAGUUCUCAUUCAUUCUAAAAUGAAUUCAGUGGAAAAAAAUCUUAUUCCGUUUCUUACAAAAAGAAAAAGGAACAUUUUAUUCCAUCUAUUUCUUACUUAUUUAGGCCUUUAAUUUUUUUUUUUUAAAACUAUAACAGUUUAGGCCUUUCAUGAAGCCACAUAAUUUGAUAGAGUAAGGUAUCUCAUACAUCUUUUAAUUUUUCUCAAGAUAAACCCAAUUUUUUAUGCACACAAACACAUUCAAAUAUAAAACUUCUGCACUAACAUUUUUCUUGAAGAAGUUUGGUGAAUUUUGGAUGUUAACAGUGGACGAUGCUUUUGGGAGAACUUUGAAAAAAGGGACCACUAAACAAGGGACAGAUAGAAGAAGCAUAAAAAAUCAAUGAAAGAUUGCCAUUUAGGAUGGAAGAUUGCCAUAAAAAAUCACUUGGCAGACAGAUUUCAAGACAAGAACUGAAUAGGGCUGUAUUGAGCAUUGAUAUAAUUGACAAGUUGCAUUCUUGAUUAAAUGAAUUACAUUGGAUACAUAAUGCACAUACAGGCUCUUCUGACCUUCAGUUUCCUCCUACUUAAUGGUGCUGGCAGUUCCCUCCUGCUCUUCAGGCAAACUGCAGUGUUUUUGUAUCCGCUCCCUAAGUCAAUAAUGUAUCGCAUCUCAUUGAUGAAGAAAAGA
rnacentral:lncRNA from 1 species